rnacentral:siRNA from 1 species
ACUAACAAGUGUGUCGAUGGUUUU